UGCCAGCAGCCGCGGUAAUACAGAGGCCUCAAGCGUUGUUCGGAAUUACUGGGCGUAAAGGGUUCGUAGGUGGCCAUGAAAGUCAGAUGUGAAAGCCCUGGGCUUAACCCAGGAAGUGCAUUUGAUACUGCAUGGCUGGAGUGUGAGAGAGGAAAGUGGAAUUCCAGGUGUAGGGGUGAAAUCCGUAGAUAUCUGGAGGAAUACCAAUUGUGAAGACAGCUUUCUGGCUCGCAACUGACACUGAUGAACGAAAGCGUGGGUAGCAAACAGGAUUAGAUA
rnacentral:rRNA from 1 species